rnacentral:rRNA from 1 species
AUUGAACGCUGGCGGCAUGCCUAACACAUGCAAGUCGAACGGUAACGCGGGGGCAACCCUGGCGACGAGUGGCGGACGGGUGAGUAAUACGUAGGAAUCUGCCCAUUUGUGGGGGAUAACCCGGCGAAAGCCGGGCUAAUACCGCAUACGCUCUACGGAGGAAAGCGGGGGAUCGUAAGACCUCGCGCUAAUGGAUGAGCCUACGUCGGAUUAGCUAGUUGGUAGGGUAACGGCCUACCAAGGCGACGAUCCGUAGCUGGUCUGAGAGGACGAUCAGCCACACUGGGACUGAGACACGGCCCAGACUCCUACGGGAGGCAGCAGUGGGGAAUAUUGGACAAUGGGGGCAACCCUGAUCCAGCAAUGCCGCGUGUGUGAAGAAGGCCUGCGGGUUGUAAAGCACUUUCAGAGGGGAAGAAAAAAUACGGAGCUAACACCUCCGGUCUUGACGUUACCCUUAGAAGAAGCACCGGCUAACUCCGUGCCAGCAGCCGCGGUAAUACGGAGGGUGCAAGCGUU